rnacentral:piRNA from 1 species
UGUACAGUUGGCUUCUGCUUAGCGUUCAUU